rnacentral:lncRNA from 1 species
CACAAUCAAAAUAGGUGUUUUGUCCAAUGGAACCACAAUCAAAAAGCAUGAAGGCCUAUGAAAGAUAGUGGGAAUUGCAGACUAACCACCCUUGUUAUGAGCACGGAGCCUAUUCAACAAGAACCUGUGCCUUUUAUGGUUUUUGGCAGUUUCAGCAGAACUAAGCAAUGGAAAGAACCCAUCUCCUAUUGGACACAGAAAACAAAACACACGCUAAGGGAACAAGGGCCUGUCUAGCAAGGCAUGUGGAAAGAAACGAACAGCAUCAACAGAGUUAAGGAACACACGCUUCCUCUUUCGAACAACGGGAGCAAGAGGCCUCGGACGUAUAAAAGGCAAAACAGGAACAACACGAG